ACUAUAUUUUACAUUUGGGGCAUAUUUGUUUCACGGUAAGUGGGAGGGGCAGAAGUGAUUUUCGGCGAAAACUGAUCACUUUUUGCUAUUUGGUUCACCGUAAUAUUAUUACGAUCCGAAGUCCAGUUCAUCCAAAAUACCGAAAUUGACUUUGCUAUGGUGAUGUAGAAGUAAUUAAUUUUUUAUUGAGAUUAUAUGUCUAAAAUAUAAUGAAAUUUGGUUAUUUAAGUUUCAGUAUGUCUUUUAUUUAAUUUGUUAAAUGUUAAUAAUUCUUUAAAUUUAGAAUUUUAUUUGUUGCAUUAUAUAAUUUAUAUGCAAAAAAUUUAAUAUAAUUAUUUUAAAUUUUAUUUAUAAUUAUAUAUACAUAUAAUUAUAUUAUUUUUUAUUUAUUAUAAUUUAUUAUCUAUUAGGUUGCAAAAUAGACAAUAAUAUCACUUAGGAUGUAAGUUUAUUGGGGGUAUGAAGAUUAAAUAAUUUUCGGUGAAACAAAUAAAGAAAGUGAAGAACUACACACUUUAUAUUCUCUACUUCCUGCCAAACAAACAGCAGAACUUCACUUCCACAGUUAGAAACAAACAGCGGAUGUGAAGUAAUUUUCACUUGAAUUCUAUUUCAAUCCAAAAUCCAUUUUAACCCAAAAUCUACUUAGAGUGAAACAAACAAGACCUUGG
rnacentral:lncRNA from 1 species